UACGUAGGGGGCAAGCGUUGUCCGGAAUCAUUGGGCGUAAAGAGCGUGUAGGCGGCCUGGUAAGUCCGCUGUGAAAGUCCAGGGCUCAACCCUGGAAUGCCGGUGGAAACUGUCAGGCUCGAGUCCGGAAGAGGCGAGUGGAAUUCCUGGUGUAGCGGUGAAAUGGCGCAGAUAUCAGGAGGAACACCAAUGGCGAAGGCAGCUCGCUGGGACGGUACUGACGCUGAGACGCGAAAGCGUGGGGAGCGAACAGG
rnacentral:rRNA from 1 species